rnacentral:siRNA from 1 species
GAACUUAUUUGUUUAUAAUUUGGU